rnacentral:rRNA from 1 species
AUUGGACGCUGGCGGCAUGCCUUACACAUGCAAGUCGAACGGCAGCGGGGGAGAAGCUUGCUUUUCCUACCGGCGAGUGGCGAACGGGUGGGUAAUACAUCGGAACGUGCCCUGUAGUGGGGGAUAACUAGUCGAAAGAUUAGCUAAUACCGCAUACGACCUGAGGGUGAAAGUGGGGGACCGCAAGGCCUCAUGCUAUAGGAGCGGCCGAUGUCUGAUUAGCUAGUUGGUGGGGUAAAGGCCUACCAAGGCGACGAUCAGUAGUUGGUCUGUAAGGACGAUAAGCCACACUGGGACUGAGACACGGCACAGACUCCUACGGGAAGCAGCAGUGGGGAAUUUUGGAAAAUGGGCGAAAGCCUGAUUCAGCAAUGCCGCGUGUGUGAAGAAGGCCUUCGGGUUGUAAAGCACUUUUGUCCGGAAAGAAAUGGCUCUGGUUAAUACCUGGGGUCGAUGACGGUACCGGAAGAAUAAGGACCGGCUAACUACGUGCCAGCCGCCGCAGUAA